rnacentral:rRNA from 1 species
UACGUAGGGUGCGAGCGUUAAUCGGAAUUACUGGGCGUAAAGCGUGCGCAGGCGGCUUUGCAAGACAGAUGUGAAAUCCCCGGGCUCAACCUGGGAACUGCAUUUGUGACUGCAUGGCUGGAGUGCGGCAGAGGGGGGUGGAAUUCCGCGUGUAGCAGUGAAAUGCGUAGAGAUGCGGAGGAACACCGAUGGCGAAGGCAGCCCCCUGGGCCAACACUGACGCUCAGGCACGAAAGCGUGGGGAGCAAACAGG